UACAAUUCGAAUGUUUGCAAACAAUAAUUCAUGAUGAGUGCACGCACAACAUUAAAAAACACAUGUGAAUUUCGAGGAUAUAUUAGUGGAUUACAAAAACACAUGUGAAACUCAUGGAUAUAUUUGUGGAUCUCGAAAAUACAUGUGAAAAUCUUGGAUAUAUUUGUGCAUCGACAAAAGAUAUGUGUAAAUCGCGAAAGUAUUUGUGAGAAUAUUUUUGAGACAAAUCUCUCCCCAUAGUUUUUCACACCCCUUUCCAGCGCAACAUGUCUGAAAUGUUUUUUUUGUUUUUUUUGUUGGAGACUUUAUCAUCAACAGAAACUUUUAGACAGGAUACCUCAGUCAUCAGGUACAUCAGCUACCGACUCUACUGAGGUAAGACAAGAAAGUGACACUGAACAAAUGGCUAGCACACCAUCUGGUUGGAAAUCCACAGAACAAAGAAGGACACUUUACAGUGCAGGGCUGCUAUUGAGGACCAUUCUAAGCGAAUCACCCUCACUGAAAUGCCCAUGGCCUCCCACAGCAGAAGAUUUAAAUGUAUGUGAAGCGAAAGCUGUUGUGCCUGUUGAACAGUACAAUCGAUUGGUGCAACAGAAGAACCAACACUAGCCGGCAAAAGGGCAAACUACGAGGCAGCAGUAAUGCGACAUUGUCUGACUGGUAUGAUGUGUGCCCCUUCACCAAUUGGCAAUGGAUGGGACAUUGAGGAUGGUGAAUUAACAGUAAAAUGGAUGACUAGAAAUCCUGCCCCAGAUAGUGUGCUACAGGUAAUCCACUGUGGUUGCAAGAUAAGCAAGUGUGAGACUGAAAGAUGUUCAUGCUUGUCUGCAAAAAUGUCCUGUACAGAUUUAUGCCACUGCCAGGACUGUGAAAAUAUUUCAAAGGAAAUGGGAUGAUGACACUGAUGAUACUGAUAUUGAUGAGUAAUCACCCACCAUCUCUCCUAUGUUUAGUUUCAUUAUCAAAAUGUUACUCUCCAUUUUAACACCUUUAAAACAACAACAAAAAAAGGCUCUUUUCCCUUUUCCAAAAAAAUAGACCUUUGUUCAAUUUGACUGCCAAAAAAGAUGGAUGUUCCAAUGAA